AUGAAAUACGAUAUUCCUUUGAAAAUCUCGCAAGGCUCUGAUUCAGAAGACGGGAAAGCUCAACGGUUGAAAAGCUCAAGUCUUGAGGCCAACGAGAUUCCAACUAUUGGAGAACCUUUGACAAAUUUCUACCGAAGAUGGGAAGCGACUCCAAAGGCCGAUUCCGAGAGGACCGCUGUCAGGAACUAUUUCCUUGAACAGUAUUUGGACAAGAAAACUGAAGGCAAGGUAGUUCCCACGGAGUUUAACCCUUCACUAUCUAAGAGUGUAGAGAGCUCAGACUUUGGCCUUAAAACUGCGUUUCCAAAGCAGACUUAUCAAAGCCCUGAAAUGAGCCCUAAUGCAGGGACCUCACCCACAAGGAUCUUCGCAGAGAAAAUCGAUGAAUUGUGGUCUCAACCUCAACAUCUAAGUCCCGUUGAGAUAUCAAUGGAAGCAAAGGGUCUAAGACCGCAAUCUCCUGAGAAUCACGAUCAAAACUUGGAGCUGCGGGCAUCGAAUAGCCGCGAUGUUAUGCCAGCAUUUGAACACUACGUCAUCGAUCCCUCAGAAAUGAAUCCCCAGCUAAAAAGUUCGGUCAAUACACGAAAUUCAGAGGUACAUUUCCGUCAAAAUUCCUCAAACUUUCAAACAUUACCUUCCCAGAUGUCUCUUCAAAAUGUGCAAAAUUCGGGAACCGCUUUCCGAAAUCUACUGAACUCUCAAGAGAAAAGUAUACCGAAUUACGAUACUGUAGAUAGCUUAGAGAGAGCGUUCGCUCCACGAGGUAUCGGGAUGAAAAGUCAGCCUUUCCCGUUAGACAGGCAGACCUUCUGCUCGGCGAUUAUGAGGUUGGAAGGUACUGAUCCUCACGAGGACCCUACGCUUAAACUCCAGCGCUCUAGUCAGUUCAUCCCAUUCUGUCCAGAGGUACAUAACAUCACAGAGAUAUACUCGGAGUUGUGUGAGGACUGGGUGAGUGACGAUGAGUUUUUUGAGGAAUUGAAGAAAAGAAGUGGACAGAGGAUAUUCUGA
rnacentral:lncRNA from 1 species